GGAGGAUGAGGUGCUUGCACCUUAUCUUAGCGGCGGACGGGUGAGUAAUGCUUAGGAAUCUGCCUAUUAGUGGGGGACAACAUUCCGAAAGGAAUGCUAAUACCGCAUACGUCCUACGGGAGAAAGCAGGGGAUCUUCGGACCUUGCGCUAAUAGAUGAGCCUAAGUCGGAUUAGCUAGUUGGUGGGGUAAAGGCCUACCAAGGCGACGAUCUGUAGCGGGUCUGAGAGGAUGAUCCGCCACACUGGGACUGAGACACGGCCCAGACUCCUACGGGAGGCAGCAGUGGGGAAUAUUGGACAAUGGGGGGAACCCUGAUCCAGCCAUGCCGCGUGUGUGAAGAAGGCCUUAUGGUUGUAAAGCACUUUAAGCGAGGAGGAGGCUACUGAGACUAAUACUCUUGGAUAGUGGACGUUACUCGCAGAAUAAGCACCGGCUAACUCUGUGCCAGCAGCCGCGGUAAUACAGAGGGUGCGAGCGUUAAUCGGAUUUACUGGGCGUAAAGCGUGCGUAGGCGGCUUUUUAAGUCGGAUGUGAAAUCCCCGAGCUUAACUUGGGAAUUGCAUUCGAUACUGGGAAGCUAGAGUAUGGGAGAGGAUGGUAGAAUUCCAGGUGUAGCGGUGAAAUGCGUAGAGAUCUGGAGGAAUACCGAUGGCGAAGGCAGCCAUCUGGCCUAAUACUGACGCUGAGGUACGAAAGCAUGGGGAGCAAACAGGAUUAGAUACCCUGGUAGUCCAUGCCGUAAACGAUGUCUACUAGCCGUUGGGGCCUUUGAGGCUUUAGUGGCGCAGCUUACGCGAUAAGUAGACCGCCUGGGGAGUACGGUCGCAAGACUAAAACUCAAAUGAAUUGACGGGGGCCCGCACAAGCGGUGGA
rnacentral:rRNA from 1 species